rnacentral:lncRNA from 1 species
AUGAGUUUCCGGUGAGUUUGCUGCUCAAAUCGCAGCAGCAAUUGGGGAAAGUAGGGUUCUAAUUCAGAGGAUUCACGACGACGAUGGGUUUUGGGAAUUUUGCCCGUUUAUUAGGUCCGAUUGGCGUUUCUGUGUACUUCAAAUUUCGAAAAUGGCAAUUUGCACCUUUGAUUAUCGGUUAUUUGUAUAUUGCACCCUUUCGCACUUUCCCAUUGAAAAUAUAGCCAAC